rnacentral:rRNA from 1 species
UACGUAGGUGGCAAGCGUUGUCCGGAUUUACUGGGCGUAAAGAGCGCGCAGGCGGUCGUUCAAGUCGCGUGUGAAAGCCCCCGGCUCAACUGGGGAGGGUCACGCGAUACUGAUCGACUCGAAGGCAGGAGAGGGUAGUGGAAUUCCCGGUGUAGUGGUGAAAUGCGUAGAUAUCGGGAGGAACACCAGUGGCGAAGGCGGGUCUCUGGGACGGUACUGACGCUGAGACGCGAAAGCGUGGGGAGCGAACAGG